GAGUUAGCGUCGGAAGCAGGAAGUGUGUGUAUGAUCAUGGAGGGGACACAAGGCGCUCUGCCGGUUCUGCCCAAACACUCGUACUGGUUUGAUUUCUACCUGUUUCUGCUGUUUGAUGUCAUCCUCUUCUUCAUCAUUUACUUCAUUAUUCCAUAAGCACGUUCAGCAUAUGACCCAAUCAGAUUCACCAAAGAAACUCUGAACCACCGCCGAGAUGGACAGUAACAGUCCGCAGGACUUCCUCACUACUGAAAACACACAUUCCAGCUUUACUUAUGAAACUUCACUGCAGACAGAAAACUAAUGUACUGAACAUGCUUCAUGCCACACUCCUGCUCAGAGAUUAACAUGGAUUGUUUAUUAACAUGAGGAAAUUACAGUGUGCAUGUGUGUAAGAAUUAAAUCCUUAUGAGUGA